rnacentral:rRNA from 2 species
CAAGCAGCGGAGCAUGUGGUUUUAAUUCGAAGCAACGCGAAGAACCUUACCAGGGCUUUGACAUGCCGCUGACCGGUUUUAGAGAUAGACCUUUAUCCUUCGGGGUACAGCGGACACAGGUGUGCAUGGUUGUCGUCAGCUCGUGUCGUGAGAUGUUGGGUUAAGUCCCGCAACGAGCGCAACCCUUGUCUUUAGUUGCCAUCAUUAAGUUGGGCACUCUAAAGAGACUGCCGAUGACAAAUCGGAGGAAGGUGGGGAUGACGUCAAAUCAUCAUGCCCUUUAUGUCCUGGGCUACACACGUGCUACAAUGGUCGGUACAACGAGAAGCAAGCCAGCGAUGGCAAGCAAAUCUCUAAAAGCCGAUCCCAGUUCGGAUUGCAGGCUGCAACUCGCCUGCAUGAAGUCGGAGUUGCUAGUAAUCGCGGAUCAGAAUGCCGCGGUGAAUGCGUUCCCGGGUCUU